GAUGAACGCUAGCGGCAGGCUUAAUACAUGCAAGUCGAGGGGCAGCAUGACUGUAGCAAUACAGUUGAUGGCGACCGGCAAACGGGUGCGGAACACGGUACAGAACCUUCCUUCGAGCGGGGAAUAGCCCAGAGAAAUUUGGAUUAAUACCCCAUAGUAUAUUAGAGUGGCAUCACUUUGAUAUUAAAGAUUUAUCACUUGAAGAUGGCUGUGCGGCUGAUUAGGUAGUUGCGGGGUAACGGCCCACCAAGCCUUCGAUCAGUAACUGGUGUGAGAGCACGACCAGUCACACGGGCACUGAGACACGGGCCCGAUCCUACGGGAGGCAGGCUAGUAAGGAAUA
rnacentral:rRNA from 1 species